GUCUGCUUAAUUCUUCCAGUUGUUUGAUUCUUCUCUUUUUUUUCCUGUAUCGGAGAAGGAAUAAGAACAAGUGAUUAUGUUUGUUUAUGAUUUUGAGUUCCUUUAUUCCUCUUUCCAUAAAUUCUUGGUUGGCCAGAUCUGUUUCUGAAACAAACAGAAUGCGGUUUAUGUCAUGGGCAGAUUGUAGUUUGCUCAGCAGCAAACUUUCUCUUGUUCAGUCCGUGCCGACAAAAAGAUGGAUUUUAUUAGGAUAUUUCCAUAAUCAUGUUUAUCUAAUGUUGCUUGUAUAUUGGGGUCACAUUCUCUACAUGCAUAGAGAUUUCAGUAAGAUAUGGCAGGGCGUUAUGGCCUAAUUUUCUCCCAAAAUCCAAUAAGUUUGAUUACCCGCCAACAAAAAAUCCGAUAACUUUGAUGCUUCUCAAAAUACCCAAUUAGGAGUAUAGGACUUGUUUGGACUCAGUAGCCAAGAAAAUCAUGAUGAAAACAAUUUUUUUAUGGCCCUAAUGUUUAAUUGUGAAUUUGCUUUGCUUCUGGUUUGGUCUUCAGAACAACUUGUUGCCAUUCAAUAAGUACGCCUACCUCACAACGCACAAUUCAUUCACGAUUGUUGGGGAACCGUCGCACACCGGAUGCCAGCCAUGGAGUAAUUCAAGUUCAAGGUGAUUCGAUUCGAUUCGGCAGCCCUCUCCGCUGCGAUGUGCUGUAACUACACUUGAUUUGAAUUCUUUCUCUAAUUCUUGCCGGUCCAAGCAAUCAAGAUCAUCAGAGUCAAUGACGGAGAUGGUCCAACAGCUAUGUUUCUGAGUGAGCAGGCACAAAGGAUGCCCAGCUAUGUUUAUCUGUUGACCACUGUAAUAAAACCUGUAGGAUAUCUAGCCUCAAAUGUUAUGACCAAGACCAACUAACAAAAGCCUGAAACUGAAUCUUGAUACUCCUGCUACGAAUACAAUCAAGCCGAGAAAAUAAAAUGUGUUGUCCAUAUGACAUUUCACUAUUUCAUUUCAGUUUCAGAAAUACACAUUGAUGGACUAUGUCUAGUGUUUUUAUUUACUGAAUUUCGUUUUGCUGUUUUACUGUGUCUCUCAUUCUCUUUACCGUGCCUAAUUGGACAUGCUUACUCUUGAUUAUGCUCCGGUUUAGGUCCCGGUUGGUACUGCCAGCAGCCUUGCCGGUCCAAGCAAUCAAGAUCAUCAGCAAGUCAAUAACGGAGACGGUCGAGCACUGUCAUCACACUGAACCUGCAACACCAGUGAGAUGACUGAAGAUUGGGUUGUGGUUGGAGUGAGAGGAGAAGCAAAUCACUUGACCAGUUGAAUCCUUGGGUGUACAAGACGGCCGAGCUGUGGCAGGUGAAGGAGCCACUGCCGCUGCCCGCGCCGAAGAAGUGCAACUGCUCCAUGGUGUUCACCCUCAAGGAGAUGGAGGAGGCCACCGGCAUGUUCAGGAGAACUUCCUCUUUGGUUUGAUACACAUACAUUAUUUAACUGUGAUUUAGAGUUAUGAUUAUUUGAUGUGGCGAACAUAGAAUCCUGCCUGCGCAUUUCUGUGAUUAUUUUGUACCCUGAAUCCAAGUAAAUUAAGUUGCCUGUACCAAGUUGAGUAUUUAGUUCGAUGAGUAAUUUUCUGUCUGGAGAUGAUGAGCAGAGCAUAAAAAUGAUUGCUUAUCUGUAUACUGUUGUUGCUGUAGUUUAAAAGGCUCAAGAUCUUCUACUCACAUGCUUGUUUAUCUCACAUCUCUGAGCCAAAGUUAUCUCACAUGCUUGUUUAUUCAAUAUUUUUCUGACAUACGCGUAAUAUAGAUGGCGUGCCCAAAGUGAAAUCUGACCGGAGACUUCGAAAGAUCAGAGGUAACAUACUUUUAGCCGUGAAGGGUGAAAUGCUCAAAUGUUUAUUUUGUUUUUGCUGUACCCCUUUUGUGCCAAUGAAAGAUCUUCCUGUCAGAGAGGGCUUAAGGAUCUUCCUGUCAGAGGAGUACAUUAUUUUGUUUGACAGGAGUAUUUCAAGAUCAGUACAUUAUUUUGUUUGACAGGAGGGCUUAAGGACCUACAGUAUCAUGGUGAUUUCGUAUCAAAAUCGAGGAGUACUCCUGUUCAUUUGGAGAACUCAAACAGCAAUUGAUAUGCAUCAAAAUUGGGAUCAACAGUAGCAUGGGGCCUUAUCAUUCUGGUUUUUGGAUGACUUAGUUAAUCAAAUUCCUCAAUUGAGGAACACCUGAACUUGUCAUUCCGGUCUUGGGAUCAACAGUAGCAUAUGGACUUAUCAUUCUGGCUUUUGGAUGAUUUAGUUAAUCAAAUUGACAUCAAUUGACCUGUUUUUUGGAUCAAUUGCAGAUUCUCUUGAUUGGAGUGGAGAGGAGCAGAGACGAGAGGAGCAGCAGAAGUGGACAGCGCAACGGCUGACUUUGAGCUCUUGAUUGGAGUGGGGGAGGCGGCCGACGAAGGAUCUGUGGCCAGCAGCGAAGGAUCCGAAGUUGUGGCGGAGCAGGCAGCCGGCGGGAAGGGCGGCCGGCGAGGGAGCUGCGGACCUUGGCGUGGAAGGGCGGCCGAUGAGGGAGCUGCAGACCGCGGCGGGGAAGGGCCGGCCGGCGAGGGAGCUGCGGACCGCGGCGGGGAAGGACGCCGGAUGAGCCCGGCGAAAGGGAGCAGCGACGGCGGAGAAGCCUGGCGUAGGGGAGGAGCGACGGAGGAAGACGCCUCCCGAUGGAUUUCAAAUUGGGGGUAGUAUUGUACUUUCACACUAUUUCACCUGGUCGGAAUGAUGCCCCCAGCGACAAUUAUUUCGGAACGGAGGGAGUAGAUUUCAGAUGUGAUAAAGAAGCCAACAUAAUCUAUCAAAAUCGCACCCAUGGAGGCAAUAUUCCUUUCGCAA